AUGGUCUUCAAUCCCUUAGGAGUACCCUCCCGAAUGAAUGUGGGGCAAAUAUUUGAAAGCUUGCUCGGAUUAGCAGGGGAUCUGCUAAAGAAACAUUAUAGAAUAGCACCCUUUGAUGAGAGAUAUGAGCAAGAGUCUUCAAGAAAACUUGUGUUUUCAGAAUUAUAUGAAGCCAGUAAGGGUACAAAGCAGUAG
rnacentral:rRNA from 1 species